rnacentral:rRNA from 1 species
ACGGAGGAUGCGAGCGUUAUCCGGAUUUAUUGGGCUUAAAGGGUGCGUAGGCGGAUAGAUAAGUCAGUGGUGAAAACCUGCAGCUUAACUGUUGAAUUGCUGUGGAAACUGGAAGACUUGAGUAUGGGAGAGGAAGGUGGAAUGCUUAGUGUAGCGGUGAAAUGCGUAGAUAUUAGGAGGAACACCAGUGGCGAAGGCGACUUGCUGGACUGUAACUGACACUGAGGCACGAAAGCGUGGGGAGCAAACAG